GACGUAGGGCGCGAGCGUUGUCCGGAAUUACUGGGCGUAAAGGGUGCGUAGGCGGCCUGAUAAGUAGGGGGUGAAAUCCUGCGGCUUAACCGCAGGGCUGCCUUCUAAACUGUCAGGCUAGAGCACAGUAGAGGCAGGUGGAAUUCCCGGUGUAGCGGUGGAAUGCGUAGAGAUCGGGAAGAACAUCAGUGGCGAAGGCGGCCUGCUGGGCUGUUGCUGACGCUGAGGCGCGACAGCGUGGGGAGCAAACAGG
rnacentral:rRNA from 1 species